rnacentral:rRNA from 1 species
GACGAACGCUGGCGGCGUGCUUAACACAUGCAAGUCGAACGGAAAGGCCCUGCUUUUGUGGGGUGCUCGAGUGGCGAACGGGUGAGUAACACGUGAGUAACCUGCCCUUGACUUUGGGAUAACUUCAGGAAACUGGGGCUAAUACCGGAUAGGAGCUCCUGCUGCAUGGUGGGGGUUGGAAAGUUUCGGCGGUUGGGGAUGGACUCGCGGCUUAUCAGCUUGUUGGUGGGGUAGUGGCUUACCAAGGCUUUGACGGGUAGCCGGCCUGAGAGGGUGACCGGCCACAUUGGGACUGAGAUACGGCCCAGACUCCUACGGGAGGCGGCAGUGGGGAAUAUUGCACAAUGGGCGGAAGCCUGAUGCAGCAACGCCGCGUGCGGGAUGACGGCCUUCGGGUUGUAAACCGCUUUCGCCUGUGGCGAAGCGUGAGUGACGGGAAUGGGUAAAGAAGCACCGGCUAACUACGU